rnacentral:ncRNA from 2 species
CCCACCAAUAGGGAACGUGAGC